rnacentral:rRNA from 1 species
CGCCGCGUGGAGGAUGAAGGUCUUCGGGUCGUAAACUCCUGUCGGAGGGGACGAAAGCGAUUGGGGUUAAUACCCUCAGUUGUUGACGGUACCCUAUGAGGAAGCCCCGGCUAACUCCGUGCCAGCAGCCGCGGUAAUACGGGGGGGGCAAGCGUUGUUCGGAAUUACUGGGCGUAAAGGGCGCGUAGGCGGCCCGGCCAGUCCUUUGUGAAAUCCCACGGCUCAACUGUGGAACUGCAGGGGAUACUGCCGGGCUUGAGUCCGGGAGAGGGGAGUGGAAUUCCCAGUGUAGCGGUGAAAUGCGUAGAUAUUGGGAGGAACACCGGUGGCGAAGGCGGCUCUCUGGACCGGUACUGACGCUGAGGCGCGAAAGCUAGGGGAGCAAACGGGAUUAGAUACCCCGGUAGUCCUAGCUGUAAACGUUGAGCACUUGGUGUGGCGGGUAUCGACCCCUGCCGUGCCGAAGCUAACGCAUUAAGUGCCCCGCCUGGGGAGUACGGA